UACGGAGGGGGACUAGCGUUGUUCGGAAUUACUGGGCGUAAAGCGCACUAGGCGGAUUUGUAAGUCAGGGGGUGAAAUCCCGGGGCUCAACCUCGGAACUGCCUUUGAUACUGCAAAUCUCGAGUCCGGAAGAGGUGAGUGGAAUUCCUAGUGUAGAGGUGAAAUUCGUAGAUAUUAGGAAGAACACCGGUGGCGAAGGCGGCCCACUGGAUCGGUACUGACGCUGAGGUGCGAAAGCGUGGGGGAGCAAACAGG
rnacentral:rRNA from 1 species